rnacentral:rRNA from 1 species
AGAGUUUGAUUAUGGCUCAGAACGAACGCUGGCGGCAGGCUUAACACAUGCAAGUCGAGCGCCGUAGCAAUACGGAGCGGCAGACGGGUGAGUAACGCGUGGGAACAUACCCUUUGGUUCGGAAUAAUUCAGGGAAACUUGGACUAAUACCGGAUAAGUGCAGGAUCUAACGGUUUUGCAGAAAGAUUUAUCGCCGAAGGAUUGGCCCGCGUUCGAUUAGCUAGUUGGUGUGGUAACGGCGCACCAAGGCGACGAUCGAUAGCUGGUCUGAGAGGAUGAUCAGCCACAUUGGGACUGAGACACGGCCCAAACUCCUACGGGAGGCAGCAGUGGGGAAUAUUGGACAAUGGGCGCAAGCCUGAUCCAGCCAUGCCGCGUGAGUGAUGACGGCCUUAGGGUUGUAAAGCUCUUUCGCUAGGGACGAUAAUGACGGUACCUAGACAAGAAGCCCCGGCUAACUUCGUGCCAGCAGCCGCGGUAAUACGAAGGGGGCUAGCGUUGUUCGGAAUUACUGGGCGUAAAGCGCGUGUAGGCGGGCUUUUAAGCCAGGGGUGAAAUGCCAAGGCUCAACCUUGGAACUGCCUUUGAUACUGGAAGCCUCGAGUCCGGGAGAGGUGAGUGGAACUGCGAGUGUAGAGGUGAAAUUCGUAGAUAUUCGCAAGAACACCAGUGGCGAAGCGGCUCACUGGCCCGGAACUGACGCUGAGACGCGAAAGCGUGGGGAGCAAACAGGAUUAGAUACCCUGGUAGUCCACGCUGUAAACGAUGGAUGCUAGCCGUUGGGGAGCUUGCUCUUCAGUGGCGCAGCUAACGCUUUAAGCAUCCCGCCUGGGGAGUACGGUCGCAAGAUUAAAACUCAAAGGAAUUGACGGGGCCCGCACAAGCGGUGGAGCAUG